rnacentral:rRNA from 1 species
GUGCCAGCCGCCGCGGUAAUACGUAGGGCGCAAGCGUUGUCCGGAAUUAUUGGGCGUAAAGAGCUCGUAGGCGGCUUGUCGCGUCGGGUGUGAAAGCCCACAGCUUAAUUGUGGGUCUGCAUUCGAUACGGGCAGGCUAGAGGCAGGUAGGGGAGCAUGGAAUUCCCGGUGUAGCGGUGAAAUGCGCAGAUAUCGGGAGGAACACCGGCGGCGAAGGCGGUGCUCUGGGCCUGUACUGACGCUGAGGAGCGAAAGCGUGGGAGCGAACAGGAUUAGAUACCCUGGUAGUCCACGCCGUAAACGUUGGGCGCUAGGUGUGGGUCCUUCCGACGGUUCCGCGCCGUAGC